GCGAUUCCCUUUAGUAGUGGCGAACGAAACGGGAGAAGCCCAGCGCAUAAUCUCCCAGGCCGCCCGGCCUGCGGCGAAAUGUUGCGUUAAGGGAAAGGUCGCUCGUAAGCCACGCACGCUCGUGCUUAUGCCUAAGAGCGAAUUGAAUUGUUCGCGCUUGUUCGGCAUUCGCUCACGCGAGUUGUCGACGUACGGUUCCAAGGAGGGUGCAAGCCCCGUAUGGCGUACGUUGCGUUGCGUUGGUUCGGCCUCUAUUCCCUAAGAGUCGCGUUGUUUGAACAUGCAGCGCUAAGCAGGUGGUAAACUCCACCUAAGGCUAAAUACAUCCACAGAACCGAUAGCUAACAAGUACCGCGAGGGAAAGUUGAAAAGUACUCUGAAGAGAGGGUGCAAAGACCGUGAAACCGCUCAGGGUAAAAGCCGAAUGUCGAGUGAUCCUAGAUGCUGGGGCAUCGACUCUCGAGUCGAUAGUUCGUGUCAGCGCGCGUGUUAKAAGUUACGACGUUUAUGUAAGAGCGCCGUGUAAUUCACUAGUUUCAAGCUCGUGUUUAUGCGGUCAUUUAAACGAAGUCUCUCUAAUGCAUCGAGCGUAUCAAGUACACGAACCUUUAGGCCCGCUAACAGCCCACCGCAACUGUUGCCGAGGUCACUCGCGGUAUACGGGCGUCAGUUCGUGGCUUUUUCGUUCCUUCGGUCGUCGGGUUUACGCUUAUGCGAUGCUCCCGGAGUAGGCUUAUUUCGGUAAGUGCGAAAAGGGGCUCGUGUAUGCGGGCGUACAACUAAUGACAAAUCACAUGGCCGAGGGGUUUGCGAAUUGGUCGCUAAGCGUUCUAUGCGUCGUAAUACCAAUGCGAUCUUACGUUUGAUCCUCUAGCAGCGUUGUUCGCUGACACGCGUACUUUAUUGUGCGUACGUACGGUGGUAAAUGCUAGGUGACAUCGGUCACGUCUCGAAACACGGGCCAAGGAGCGUAGCGUGCGCGCAAGUCAAAGGGUCUAUCUAAACCCUACGGCGACAGUGAAAGCGAGUGGUUCGAUGUCAUACGUGACAACGUAUCCCGGUUUGUGACGGUAGUUCUUUUACCGAAGUCUAUUCGUUGCUUACCGCUUUGUCAGGGCCGAUCCCGAUCGAAAGAUCGGGCGCACGCCCCGGGCUCACUCGUAAGUCGCGGUUCUAUUCUCUUUCGGGAGGAUUCUAUUGUGAUGGAGGGAGCACCGAGUAGCGCGCACGGUACAACCCGAAAGAUAGUGAACUAUGCCUGGCGAGGACGAAGCCCCAGGAAACUGUGGUGGAAGUCCGUAGCCGUUGUGACGUGCAAAUCCAUGGUAUCAGCUGGGCAUAGGGGCGAAAGACCAAUCGAACUAUCUAGUAGCUGGUUCCGUCCGAAGUUUCUCUCAGGAUAGCUUGCGCGGUUAUGGCACGUUUGUUUGAAUCUCUAAGCUGGCGACAACAGUCGUACUCGAGAUCGUUCCUUUCGUUGCUCGAGAGCUGAGGGUUAACGCUCGCACGCCUCCAACGCUCGGAAUCUCUGACACCUUACUUUCUUAUUCAGUUACGUCUGGUAAAGAGAAUGAGUAGAGGUUGCGUGCCGCGCGCCCAAAUGCGCGGCAGCGGCGGGGCGUUCUACGCCUCGCACUAUUAUCAAACUUUAAAUGGGCGAGGAACUCGGCAUUUCUUAACUGUGUUAACUGUGAUGCCGGGGUAAAGAGUGCGCGUCGCCGUAAAAUAGCGACGAGACUAGAAUGUGUCCGCGUUUUAGUGGGUCCGUUCUGGUAAGCAGAACUGAUAAUGAGGGAUGAACCUAACGUUGUGUUAAGGGGCCAAAAAGACAGCUAUUUCUCGAAACCAUUGGAAAGGCGUUGUUUGCUGAAGACAGCAGGACGGUGGUCAUGGAAGUUGACAUCCGCUAAGGAGUGUGUAACAACUCAUCCUGCCGAAGCGAGUAACCCUGAAAAUGGAUGGCUCUAAAGCUCUCUCCCGAUGCACGACCGUCAGUGGCAACACGGCUAAUUACUAGUCUCGAUGCCCUGACGAGUAGGACGGGGUACCGGUGCGCGUCGAAGGCCUUAGGGUGACCUGGGCUGGAGCCGCCGGUAAUCCAGAUCUUGGUGGUAGUAGCAAGUACUCUGGUUGAUAACCUUGAGCUAUGAGGUUGAUAAGGGUUCCAUGUCAACAGCGUUUGUACAUGGGUAAGCCGAUCCUAAGCCAACCUAUACCCAGGUAUAGAUGGCGAGCGCAACUUGCAGAUAUCCUCUCUCGUGUUUGCGUGAGACUGUGUGUGGGUUUAGUAGUAGUUGUUGGAGUGAGUAAGAGGAAAUAUCCGAUCUUGCGUUUAUUGCGUUUAUGUGUUCUAUAACAUAUAUUACAUGCACGCCAUCGUAGUAUAAUCGAGCCUCUACGUAUCGUUGUUGUUGUUGUUUGCGGAGAAAGAGUUAGUGUGAUUGAUGCGAAAGCUUUAACCAUUAACAUUAUCUAGUAUCCAAAGGCUUCAUCACACACAAUUACGGUAAGCUUUUAUACGUAGAUUUGUGUGCGCGCGUGUAUCUAUCGCAGACGCAUAACGGGAUCAUUUUUCUCCCUCCUCCAUCAACAACGCGAAAGACUCGCAACAAAAGCACAUAUCACAAAAUAUAUGCGCGAGAGGGUUUGCGAGUUGUUAUUAGCCUGGCGAAAGGGAACUAUGGACUUAGUUCAUGGGCCUCUCUUGGUUCCCUGGUGCCUCGCGGUAUCACGAACUUAGCAACAGCUAUCUAGCUGAGCCAUCGCAGUCUCUUGUCGCGUGAUGGGGAGAUGUCUCCUCUCAUUAAUCGAACCUCUGGAGCCUGUUAAGCGCCUUGAGAGGAGCUAGGCUCUAUGUUCGUGAGAAGAGUAAUUUCUCUCCCCAAUCAUAUCAAUGUUUCAAGAGAUCCGUGAAAAGGUGGCCGAGGGAAUUUCUCUAACGAACUAUUCUACCCAGAUGUUCUUAGAGAUUGCCAAGAGUGUACGUACCCGAGUCCGCAUCCGUCUCAAA
rnacentral:rRNA from 1 species